GACGAACGCUGGCGGCGUGCUUAACACAUGCAAGUCGAACGGAAAGGCCCUGCUUUUGUGGGGUGCUCGAGUGGCGAACGGGUGAGUAACACGUGAGUAACCUGCCCUUGACUUUGGGAUAACUUCAGGAAACUGGGGCUAAUACCGGAUAGGAGCUCCUGCUGCAUGGUGGGGGUUGGAAAGUUUCGGCGGUUGGGGAUGGUCUCGCGGCUUAUCAGCUUGUUGGUGGGGUAGUGGCUUACCAAGGCUGUGACGGGUAGCCGGCCUGAGAGGGUGACCGGCCACCUUGGGACUGCGAUACGGCCCAGACUGCUACGGGCGGCAGCAGUCGGGAAUAUUGCACAAUGGGCGGACGCCUGAUGCAGCAACGCCGCGUGCGGGAUGACGGCCUUCUGGUUGUAAACCGCUUUCGCAUGUGACGAAGCGUGAGUGACGGUAACGGGUAAAGAAGCACCGGCUAACUACGUG
rnacentral:rRNA from 1 species